AGUAGUUUCGACGUCCGUGGCUACGAGGACGACGCUGGCGGCGUGCUUAACACAUGCAAGUCGAACGCUGAAGCCUGGUCUUUUGGCUGGGUGGAUGAGUGGCGAACGGGUGAGUAACACGUGAGCAACCUGCCCUCAUCUCUGGGAUAACUCCGGGAAACCGGGGCUAAUACCGGAUAGGACUUCUCACCGCAUGGUCGGGGGGUGGAAAGGGGUUUUUCCGGAUCGGGGAUGGGCUCGCGGCCUAUCAGCUUGUUGGUCGGGGUGAUGGCCUACCAAGGCGAUGACGGGUAGCCGGCCUGAGAGGGCGACCGGCCACACUGGGACUGAGACACGGCCCAGACGUCCUACGGGAGGCAGCAGUGGGGAAUCUUGCACAAUGGGCGGAAGCCUGAUGCAGCGACGCCGCGUGAGGGAUGACGGCCUUCGGGUUGUAAACCUCUUUCGGCCCUGACGAAGCGAGAGUGACGGUAGGGGCAGAAGAAGCACCGGCCAACUACGUG
rnacentral:rRNA from 1 species